rnacentral:tRNA from 1 species
GGACGGGUAGCUCAGUGGUUAGAGCACUUGGUUUGCAGGCCAAUAGGUCAGGUGUUCGAUUCCCUUCCCGUCCA